UACGAAGGGGGGCUAGCGUUGCUCGGAAUCACUGGGCGUAAAGCGCACGUAGGCGGAUUGUUAAGUCAGGGGUGAAAUCCUGGAGCUCAACUCCAGAACUGCCUUUGAUACUGGCGAUCUUGAGUCCGGGAGAGGUGAGUGGAACUGCGAGUGUAGAGGUGAAAAUUCGUAGAUAUUCGCAAGAACACCAGUGGCGAAGGCGGACUCACUGGCCCGGUAUGACGCUGAC
rnacentral:rRNA from 1 species